rnacentral:rRNA from 1 species
ACAGAGGUCCCAAGCGUUGUUCGGAUUUACUGGGCGUAAAGGGUGCGUAGGUGGCAGGGUAAGUUCGGUGUGAAAGCUUCGAGCUCAACUCGGAAACGGCAUUGAAUACUAUCCUGCUUGAGGGUCGGAGGGGAGACUGGAAUUCUCGGUGUAGCAGUGAAAUGCGUAGAUAUCGAGAGGAACACCAGUGGCGAAGGCGGGUCUCUGGACGAUUCCUGACACUGAGGCACGAAAGCUAGGGGAGCAAACAGG